UAAGAUUUGGCUAAGAUAUACCGC
rnacentral:siRNA from 1 species